rnacentral:rRNA from 1 species
GUGGGGAAUAUUGGGCAAUGGGCGCAAGCCUGACCCAGCAACGCCGCGUGAGGGAAGAAGGCUUUCGGGUUGUCAACCUCUGUCCUUGGUGACGAAACAAAUGAGGGUAGCCAAGGAGGAAGCCCCGGCUAACUACGUGCCAGCAGCCGCGGUAAUACGUAGGGGGCGAGCGUUGUCCGGAAUUACUGGGCGUAAAGGGUGCGUAGGUGGCCUUUUAAGUUGGAUGUGAAAGACCCGGGCUUAACUUGGGGGGUGCAUCCAAAACUGGGAGGCUAGAGUGCAGGAGAGGAAAGCGGAAUUCCUAGUGUAGCGGUGAAAUGCGUAGAUAUUAGGAGGAACACCAGUGGCGAAGGCGGCUUUCUGGACUGUAACUGACACUGAGGCACGAAAGCGUGGGGAGCAAACAGGAUUAGAAACCCGUGUAGUCC